rnacentral:lncRNA from 1 species
UCAAAUUUGAUUCACCAAUCGAAUCCAAUUCUGUAUGUGUUGGUCCUUUCACCUCAUGAACUUCAUCAAGUUUAAUUUUACAGAUAUUAGCUCCUUCACCAAGAAAUUUUUUUUUCAAAAAGACGUCUGGCUGCUGACAAACACCUUUUGUUCUGCAGCGAGGUAGAAGUAGUACCCUUUAGUUUUUUUGGGUAACCAACGAACAAGCAUCUAUCGAACUUCGAUCCAAGCUUAUCUGUCUUUAAACGCUUGACAUAAGCUGGACACCCCC